GCCUUAUUAAUAAAUUUAUAAGGUGACACCUGCUCAAUGGCUGCCAAUAAACGAUAAAAACAGUUAAAUAGCCGCGGUAACUCUGACCGUGAUAAAGUAGCAUAAUCACUCGUCGCUUAAUUGGUGAAUGGAAUGAAUGGUUACACGAAUCCCUAACUGUCUCGACAACAAAAUCACUAAAAUUGAAAUAAUAGUGAAGAUACUAUUUAUUGAUUGUAAGACGAAAAGACCCUAUCGAGCUUUACUAAAUCCCUAAAUUAUAAAAUAAAAAUAUUUUUACAACAAAACUUUUAGGGUAAUUAGUUUGGUUGGGGCGACCACCUCCAAAAAAGUAUCGGAGGAAAUCUAAUGGUUAAUAUAAAUGUAAAAAGACCUUACUGGAUAUUUACAAAUUAAUCAGUUAUUCAAAAGUAGGACAUAAUGACCCGUUGACGACACCCUAAAACUCAACGACUAUGGAAAAAGUUACCGUAGGGAUAACAGGGUAAUAUUUUCAGAGAGUUCAUAUCGAUGAAAAUGUUUGCCACCUCGAUGUUGAAUUAUGACGUCCUAAAGGUGCAGCAGCUUUUAAGGGUUG
rnacentral:rRNA from 1 species